rnacentral:rRNA from 1 species
GGGGGGGGGGGGGGGGGGGGGGGGGGGGGGGGGGGGGGGGGGAGGAAGGGGGGGUGCUCCUGGAUUCAGCGGCGGACGGGGGAGUAAUGCCUAGGAAUCUGCCUGGUAGUGGGGGAUAACGUCCGGGAACGGGCGCUAAUACCGCAUACGUCCUGAGGGAGAAAGUGGGGGAUCUUCGGACCUCACGCUAUCAGAUGAGCCUAGGUCGGAUUAGCUAGUUGGUGGGGUAAAGGCCUACCAAGGCGACGAUCCGUAACUGGUCUGAGAGGAUGAUCAGUCACACUGGAACUGAGACACGGUCCAGACUCCUACGGGAGGCAGCAGUGGGGAAUAUUGGACAAUGGGCGAAAGCCUGAUCCAGCCAUGCCGCGUGUGUGAAGAAGGUCUUCGGAUUGUAAAGCACUUUAAGUUGGGAGGAAGGGCAGUAAGUUAAUACCUUGCUGUUUUGACGUUACCAACAGAAUAAGCACCGGCUAACUUCGUG